rnacentral:rRNA from 1 species
UACGUAGGGGGCAAGCGUUGUUCGGAAUUACUGGGCGUAAAGGGCGCGUAGGCGGCCUGUUAAGUCGAACGUGAAAUCCCUGGGCUCAACCCAGGAACUGCGUCCGAUACUGGCAGGCUUGAAUUCGGGAGAGGGAUGCGGAAUUCCAGGUGUAGCGGUGAAAUGCGUAGAGAUGUGGAGGAACACCAGUGGCGAAGGCGGCUUUUUGGUCUGUAACUGACGCUGAGGCGCGAAAGCGUGGGGAGCAAACAGG